rnacentral:rRNA from 1 species
GACGAACAGAGCGAACGUUGUUCGGAAUCACUGGGCUUAAAGGGCGCGUAGGCGGGUGCUCAAGUCCGUGGUGAAAUCCUCCGGCUCAACCGGAGAACUGCCUCGGAUACUGGGUGCCUCGAGGGUGGUAGGGGUAUGCGGAACUAUCGGUGGAGCGGUGAAAUGCGUUGAUAUCGAUAGGAACUCCGGUGGCGAAGGCGGCAUACUGGACCACCUCUGACGCUGAGGCGCGAAAGCCAGGGGAGCAAACGGG